UAUGGGGCGUUUUGUCUGGAACGUUAAAGCGACAGGGACUCGAUAAUCAAAGGGUUUCCUGACAGAUGUAAGCUACGAUUAUGAUGGGCCUUGAAGCAGUUGGGGAGGACUACCAUAAACAACAAGCUGCGCCGUCGUCAGCCAGAUAUUAGUAAUAUAAUGGACAGGAUGAGGCGAGGUGAUGGAGAUGUUCCCUUUUCUUCAGGUGCCAGAGCUUAUGCAUCAUGAAAUGAAGUUGUGGAUGGACUGGACUUAGAGCUAAGCCUGAAAAACACCCUCAGUAUUGACCCCUAAGGGCAAGGUAUUUGAUAUUUUUAACAUUACAAUUAACAUUGCUUUAUGCUGUCAAUUCACAUCUUAGACUCUUACUUAGACUCUUACUAAUUCACAUCUUAGACUCUCUCUUAUUUCUCAUUUAUAUGGAACCACUGAGCGUGUUUCCAACCAACAUUCCAACAUAAAGAUGGAUGGCAUCACAAUAGCAAGUGGAGAGAUGGAUGUGCCACAUGCCCUUGCCACAUGGAGUACCCCAGGCAGAUUAAGCACACGCUGGCUUUUGCAGAGCAUUAUUUGUUCAUGAUACCAAGUCAAAAAAGAGUCUCCUGUAUUGAGACUUUACAAUCAAAUUAGCUAGUCUUUGUUAAUAUUACCUUUUAUUGUAUUAUACAUUUAAUACAUUUGCUUGAUUAUU